rnacentral:rRNA from 1 species
AUUGAACGCUGGCGGCAUGCCUUAACACAUGCAAGUCGAACGGCAGCACGGGCUUCGGCCUGGUGGCGAGUGGCGGACGGGUGAGUAAUGCUUGGGAAUCUGCCUGGUGGUGGGGGAUAACUCUCCGAAAGGAGAGCUAAUACCGCAUAAGUUCUACGGAGGAAAGCGGGGGAUCUUCGGACCUCGCGCCAUUAGAUGAGCCCAAGUCCGAUUAGCUAGUUGGCAGGGUAAAGGCCUACCAAGGCGACGAUCGGUAGCUGGUCUGAGAGGACGAUCAGCCACACUGGAACUGAGACACGGCCCAGACUCCUACGGGAGGCAGCAGUGGGGAAUAUUGGACAAUGGGCGCAAGCCUGAUCCAGCAAUGCCGCGUGUGUGAAGAAGGCCUGCGGGUUGUAAAGCACUUUAAGCAGGAAAGAAGGGGUGGGAGCUAAUAUCUUUCAUCAUUGACGUUACCUGCAGAAUAAGCACCGGCUAACUCCGUGCCAGCAGCCGCCGUAAAAC